GACGAACGCUGGCGGCGUGCCUAACACAUGCAAGUCGAACGGGACCAGGGGCAACUCUGGUUCAGUGGCGGACGGGUGCGUAACACGUGAGGAACAUGACCUUCGGCGGGGGAUAGCCGGCCCAACGGCCGGGUAAUACCGCGUACGACCUUUCGGGGACAUCCCUGGAUGGUGAAAGCAGCAAUGCGCCGAUGGAGUGCCUCGCGGCCUAGCAGCUAGUUGGUGAGGUAACGGCCUACCAAGGCGACGACGGGUAGCUGGUCUGAGAGGAUGGCCAGCCACAUUGGGACUGAGACACGGCCCAGACUCCUACGGGAGGCAGCAGGGGGGAAUAUUGCGCAAUGGACGAAAGUCUGACGCAGCGACGCCGCGUGUGGGAUGACGGUCUUCGGAUUGUAAACCACUGUCGGGAGGGACGAAUACGCCGCAAGGCGGGUGACGGUACCUCCAAAGGAAGCACCGGCCAACUCCGUGCCAGCAGCCGCGGUAA
rnacentral:rRNA from 1 species